AGCACUGAGUCAAUCGGCGCCAUUUUUUCAUGUAUGCAUAUGUCGGCUGUUCUUGAUGUGACAGCGAAUUAUUACAUUUCGUUAUAAUACAGAAAAAUAAUACAGUAAAGUAUUUCACGAGCUUAUUAAUAUAAAACGAUAAUACUUCAUAUUCUUGAAAUAAAUAGUGUUCCAGUUGUGCAGCGUACUGAAUUGUUACGCGCGAAUCUUUUGAAAAUUGCUUACGUGGGCAACAGGUGGCAAUGUCUAAUUUUGCACAUGUUUCGUGUUUGUGAAUCAGUUAUAUACUUGAAAUAUUAAUUUUAGAUGGAUUAUAUUUCGUGCAAAAUAACGAGAGGCAUAUUGCAGUGAACGCAUUAAAUCGAUUCAUUUUUUAUGGAGUCGUUGUACGUUUAAGAUAUAUUAAUUGCUUAUACAGAGAAAGUAUUUAAGAUAAAAAUAUAUAAAAAAUGGAUUAUGAUUACUUGAUCAAGUUUUUGGCUCUUGGGAAUUCUGGAGUUGGGAAAACCAGUUUUCUGUACCAGUAUACCGAUGGUACUUUCAAUUCACGCUUUGUUUCCACAGUUGGGAUUGAUUUUAAAGAAAAGAGAGUUAUAUAUCAGAUGCCUGAUGGAAGUAGCCAAAGAGUACAUUUACAGCUUUGGGAUACAGCUGGCCAAGAGAGGUUUCGAAGUUUAACCACGGCCUUUUACCGGGAUUCUAUGGGUUUCUUAUUAAUUUUUGAUCUGACCAAUGAGCUCUCCUUUCUUGAAGUUAGAAAUUGGCUGGAACAGCUUAGGAUGCAUGCAUAUUGUGAAAAUCCAGAUAUAAUUCUCUGUGGUAACAAAUCUGAUCUGGAGGACAAGCGAGUUAUUAGCGAGUAUAAAGCACGUGAUCUAGCAGAAAAACAUGGAUUAGUAUAUUUGGAAACUAGUGCUGCUACUGGACAAAAUGUUGAACGUGCAGUAGAAAUUCUGUUAGAACGUGUUAUGCGCAGAAUGGAAAUUACAGUAGAUAAAUCAUUGCUACCACAUCAAAAGAUUUUAAAGUGUCACGAGCGUGAGACACCACCUCCUAAUAGUUCUUGUUAUUGCUGACAGUGUGAUUUUGCAUAGACAGUCAGAUUAGUUUGACUGCUAUUGCAAUCGGAGGUCUCAGGGGGAAAAAAUAUUUCCUUUAUUCUCAUAAGAUAACAGAUCGACAUUUAACUUAAUUACAAGUCAUUCAAUUCUGGGUAAAAAAGGUUGUGACAAAGGAAUUUAAUCAGAAUUUUUUCUGAAAUUUAUCAGCGAAAUCAAGUACGAAGCGUGGCACUUGGGAGGAGAAAGAUAAUGCGGAAAAUAUCUUAGACGUUGGGAGACGAAACGAAGUUUCGUUAAUUGCCAUGGGACGAAGAAUAUACUGGAUGUCAGAAACUUCAGGGAUUUUCAUCAGAACAAUGUCUUAAUUAUUAGCUAGCUAUUUAUAUAUUUGGUUUGCCUUCACAAUUGAAAUUUUUCAUUUUAUUUAUUUACAAAGAAAAAUUCUUUUUAAAUUCUAUAUGAAUUUUAUUUUUAACUAACAUAUCAUAAAAUCAUUUGUCUCAUUAGCGAAGUGAUUUUUAAAAGUGAAAUUUAUUUAUUUUUUUUUUUUCUUUGAUCGCAUUGUCACAAUAGCACUAAGAUAAAUUCAUUAGUGCAAUGCCACGGAGUUCAUUUAAGUUAUAAAAAUAGUUAUUCUUGAAGAUAUUAGAAACGAAGUAAAAAAAUACUUUUCAUUUUUGAUAACUCGCUUAUGUCAUGUUCGAUCAUGGAUGAAAAUAAUCGAAUCAAUUUAAUAUAGAAAUAUGAACUCAUUUCCAUGAUUUAUUUAUCUCCGAGAUAUCCAUGCAUUCGUAUUUAUUUUUUUAUUUGGGAGCUUGUUUUGUUUACGAUUGAAACCUUGAAUAGAGCGUUUUAUUAAAGCUCCAAUUUAUGAGCAUGUCGGACGAAAGGUAUAUUUGAAUUUCACGGUUUUAAUCAAACCUUGGGAAUUUAAUAAGUUUACGAGAAAUCAUAAAUAUCGGAAGUUGACGCGUGAUCGAAAAAAGAAGUGAAUAAUAAAAGAAAAAUACGAUGAUAUCGAUAUUUGGUCGUAUAUAAUAUAUUGAUAUUAUAUUUUAUAGGAUGGAUAAUAUAUUUUCGAAAUAAUACACGCGAAGAAUCGACUUGAUCAGGUGAGAUCGAACAUUCGUCAGGUGACCGAAGCAAUUUAGUACAGUUCGAGUGGGAGCCUUGAACGAUCAGCGAGGGAAUACGAGCAAUUUGCGCUUUAAAGUCCUACAAGCAAUGUCUGUGUUCAGCCGUCCAUAGAACUUGGCUGUCAGUAACACAUCGACAUGCUCGAAGUCCUGUUGGAGGCUUUCAAUUUGUGUCUCUCGCCUUGUCGAAAGCUGCUAAUUAUUAUUGCAGUUCCUGUUAGUUAAUUUGAUCCAAAUAGACAAAGGUAGAAUCGUUUGAAGUCGAAGGGUUAAGAGUUGCGAGUAAGAAGACGAUAUUUAUCGAAGCGUAUUAACUGUAACUUUUUAGAAUUUAUUUACUUUUCGUAUUUGCUUUUAUCCUCUCGAUUAUUACUCGAUGCCAGUUCAAUGGCAAGUUUCCAUGAAUUCGGUAACAUUGGCUCGAAAGUUAGAAUAGAAACUUUCCAUCGAUGUUAUUCAUUGCCUUAGAUUCCAAGAGGAGAACCGAGAAAAGCGACGAUACUGUAUGGAUUCGAUAACAGGCUAUAUAAACGAGAGGAGAAAAAUAAGAUUUUUAACGUGUCUUGAAAGAAACCUUAAUGGACAAAGUACAUGUAUCUGUAGGUUUUUUUCAUUCUUUCUCUCUCCUUAUCUUAGUAACUACGUUGAACAGAUGUCUCGGUAAGAAGGGCUUCGUUCCUUGACGAUUUCGCAUUUUGUAUUUUCUAGUUUAUUUCAGUGAAAAAAAGAAAGAAAGAAAGAAAGAAAGAAAGAAAGAAAGAAAGAAAGAAACAGUAUGGCGGAGAAAGCUGACAAUAAACACGCAGAAUUGUAUGAUUUAUUCUUUUUGUCUAGCACCAUGCAUCGUGAAAGUAUUCUUCUUCUCUUUUGAACAAUUUUUAAUCGUCGUUAUCUCUUUGUUAAUCGUUAUCUCAUUUUGUAAGUUAGGCGUAAGGAAAGAUUUAUCGAAUAGAUUGGUAGAUGAGAAAAGAAGAAUUUUGGGAUAAAUCGAAGAGAUACAGUCAAGUGGAAGAUAAAAUGAAAUUACGUCGUGGUUUUGCCGUGGUUCUUUCAUUUUUAGGUCGCAUGUGUUAUCGAGCGAUUUAUAAUUUCCAUUUCUGUAGACAUUCGUUAUUUCUCUCUCUUUCUCUCUCCCUCUCCCUCUCCCCUUCCCUCCCCUCCCCUACUCAUCCCCUCUUUCCCCUCUCUCUUCCGUUGAAGCCUUGAGUCGAGUUAGAAAAUCGAACUCAUCAAUACACGUAGUUACAUCCUCCGAUCAUUGAACGAGUUUGUCGCAUCGUUUAUUCAAAAAUUCCUGUUUUCGUAAUCAGACAGGCAUCAGGAAGACAUGGAGUAGCGAAGUGUGUCUUCUUUCUUUCUUUUUCUCUUGUUCUUUCUCUUUUUCUUUCUUCUUCUAUUUCUAUUUCUAUUUCUAUUUCUUUCUUUCACUUGGCUGUGAAGAAUGAAACUCGUGUUGAGCUAUAUCUGGAUGUGUUUACAGGAUUCGUAUCUAUCCGAUGCUUGAGAUUCUCGUCUCUUUUCUUCCAUUUUCUCAUCCCUAAGAGACGAGCGCGAAUGUACUCGAUUGUUUCAUUUGAGAUUGUGAAACACGAGAAACUGGCUUAGGGGAAGCUUUACACUGUUAGAGGAUAGGAUGCUAUAAGGGGGUGGCUACUAUACGACGUUUGGACACGAGAACGAUCCUUGCAAGGACUGUUUCUCUUUUCCUUUUUUCUCUUUCUCAUUUUGGUCCAUUCGUUUUCUCGCUGUCCCAUCUUUUAUUUCUUUUUCUGCCUUUUUCUCAUUGCUAUAGGUACAGUACGAAGGAGUAGCAUCCAAGUUUCCGCGUUUCUGCGUUUUUACGUCCUUCAAUGGAAUUGAUUCUUUCAAGACGGGAAGAGCAAUUUUUCUUUAAUUCCGCCACGCGGAAAAUCGUACCGUCUCGAACGUUAUUCUGACUCGUUCACAAUCGUAUUUCCAUUGAGAAAAAGAAAAGGUAUUCGUUAAAAUCCUACGAAUAGCUCUUAUUGAUUUUAUUCUUUGUAACGUGCAAAAGAAUUAUGAUUGGUUGAGAGAGAGGAGGGGGGAGGGGAAGAGAAAUGUGUAAAGAUAAUUAGUUUGAAUUAUAGUGAAUAAAGCGACUAUAGUAAGUAUAUAUGUGUGUAUAUUUUAUGUGUUUGUGUGUAUAUAUUAUAUACAUUUAGAUUAAAAUUUGUUUUAAGACUAAAACUGUCUGGGUCAAUGGCAGCCUAGAUUUUUCAGAAUAAGAAAUUAUUCCUAUCCUAUUGAAGCCAAUUAAAGAUUCCUCUUUCCUUUGGGAUUAUAUAUCAAUACUAUCACAGACUACUACUCGACCUGUAUCGCUACUGCGAAUCAUCGCCAUCGAUCGUGGACCUUUUCCAAUUAACGUCACGUCUUGGACCCCGGAUCGUUAUCCUUAUCGUUGGCUAUUUCUUGAAUCCGGUGGGCUGAUAAAGAAAGUCUCACGAAAGAUAUCUUUCUUUCUAACUUUCGUUCUUUUUUCUUCUCAAAACUCGGUCGAUUCUCUCUCUCUCUCUCUCUCUCUCUCUCUCUCUCUCUCUCUCUCUCUCUCUCUCUCUCUUCCUCUUUUUCUUUCUUUCUUUCUUUCUUUCUUUCUUUCUCUUUCAGUUGAAUCCCUUUGGCAAAUCCACCAUCGGCCGUUUUCCAGGCGAAGGAAAAUACACUGGCUUGCACUGACACAUCGAGAACGUAUAUAUACAAAGCUUCUUCCGCUUUGUUUUAAGAUUGUUCAGGGAAUCGUAAAUGGUGAAACUCGACGUUACUUCAGAAUGCGUCCUGUUCGUUCGUGUUCGAUACUCUUUCGGCAAAUCUACCGUUGAAUACUUCGAAGCAGGAGUAAAGGAAGAAAGUUCAUGCGCGUAUUACUAUAUAGAGAGAAAGUUCUACGAACGUGCUUUAGGGUACGAACAAUUACUUCGAACCUGGAUCGUUCGAACGAACGAGGAAAGUUUAUAAAAAUCGUAUACUGCGAUGAGCUUAUCGAUGAAUCCUAAUGUCUUUGUUGGAUCUUCACGAUCAAUGAGAAUUAUAAAGAUAGAAUAAUUUUUUAUUAUUUUCAUCCAAAGCGAGGAAAUAUCUUCUUUUUUUCUGUCUAUAUUUUUUAAAUGUUUCAUAUGAAUUUCUUUUUAUAUUACAAUAGUUACUAAUUUACUUUGUAUGUAUAUCAAGUGAAAAAUAUGUAGGAUAAUUAAAAGUUGAACUUCGUUCGCGUAAACUUUAAUAGACGAUGGUAGCUCACGUUUUUAAUUAACUUUCAAUUACCAACGUCGCAAACUGCACGUCGCAAUUUCGUGUAGAUCGAAAGGAAUUUUAAUUUGUCGAGAAUCAUAUUUGGUCAGACCAAUUAGAAAAGCAAGAGAGGAAAAGAGAGAAAGAGAGAGAGAGAGACAGAGAGAGAGAGAGAGAGAGAGAGAGAGAGAGAGAAAGAGAGAGAGAGAGAGAAAGGGAAAACUCCAACGAGAUAGGAAAACUCCAAGUAGAUAAUAUAAGAAAGUGCAAUUAUAUUGGACCAUUUUGAAGUGAAGUAGCUUAUAAUGUGGAAAUAAAAUGCUCUGGUUGGUCUAGAAUAGUAGAGAAUUGUCGAGAAUCAGCUACUGUGUAGGUGUUGUAGUCAGUACAGAGAGAAGGAAGGGAGAGUGAUAUUCAAUGUGAAAGAUGUCUAACUGGAUAUGGAAAUCAUGAAUAUAUAAGGGAUGGCUUCAGUCGUAUGCUAAUUCUAUUUGGAAUUAUUCGAUUCGGAUCCUUUCUCGACUGAUCUUUAUGCGUAGCAAAUAGUUACUACGACACGCACUCUAAUUUUCUAUUUCAUUAUACUAAUUUUCUUUAUUCUCUAACAUUUGAUUCCUUUUUUUUUUUAUUUUUAAAGAGUAGUUUCAUCAUCAAUUAUUAUUUCGAGGAAAGCGACUAGUCAAGAUCGUUUUCAUUGUCACGCAAAAAGUUAAAAACACCCAGGAGCAAUGUUGCUGAGAAUCAGACAGGUUUGUGUGAUUUAUGCAUCGUUCGAUCGUAUUUAUGAGAAUUCGACGAAGAGAUUUCUCCAGGGGACUAUGGUAUCCCAUCGCCGGUCGAGUUAUUCGACCUUGUCUACGAAAUGUUUUUGCGCGUUAUAAAAUGUUCGCGUUUCGUUGAGUUGUAAAUUUGACGCGAUCGUUUACUUCGAUAUUGUCAACUUGUCGAUAUAUUUUUAUAACUUUAUCUAUCGAAGGAAUAUCGAUAUAGAUUGGACGGUAGAUUUGUACGAUUUGUGUAUGCCAUUGCAAAUUAAUAUCUUAGAAGUAGAAUUUCUUUUAUCAAUAUUAUUAAAUACUGAUUUGCAACUGAUCAGAAGUAUAUAUAUAUAUAUAUAUAUAUAUAUAUAUAUAUAUAUAUAAAAGUAUAUACUUACGCGUAUAUACUUACAUAUAUUAUAUUUAAGUAUAUACGCAUACACGUACAACAUACGUUACAUAGAUACCAAUGCUAUAGGUACCUGCCAUAUGUAUUUUUGAGGAGUGGUGCGUGACGAGAAACCCACGAGCACAAAUAUCCGUGUAUAUGCAUGCAGAAGCAUGAAUCUAAUUUACGAGAGAAGAGCACGUCCGCCUGUCGGACUGUCCGUUCCUAGGAAAGGGUUCUACGAUCACACAGGAAUUUCUAAGUGCGUUCUCUUCACCUUAAAUUAUCAUUGUGUUCGUCGCAAUAGAGCUACUCUCUGUUGACGUUAAGUAUUAAUGGGAUAUCUUUCAUCACUGUACAAAAAUUAGUUAUUGUGAACGAUCAUGACUCAAAAUUACUUGUAUUAUGAAAAUAUUUUGAAGUAUUAUUCGUUCGAGAUAAGCUAUAAAAAAAGCGGAUGUAUGUUUUAUAUUUAUUUUUUUUCGAUCUUAGCUCCUUUAAAGUUGAUAAAAUCUCGAACGAAAAAAUGUUGGCUGUUCGAUAACGAAUGGAAAAAGGCGAAAAAUGUUUGAUAUUCGAGCUGUGAGAGUAAAUAUUGUAUAAAAAUAUCUUUUCGUUCGUUUUGAAAGUGAUGGAUAUUAAAAGUUUAUAAGUACGAAAGAAGCUGUGCAUUCCUAAAAGUAUUCUCGACAUUGGAAUAUUCGUCGUCAUUCGUCUUUCUUUCUCGUCUUUUUUCUUUUUCGUUCAGAUUUUUAUAUUUUUAUAAUUUGUGAAAUCGAUGAAGAAUUUAUGUAUAGAAUACGAUCUUAUUAUUAUUAGUGCUUUUUUUUUU